rnacentral:rRNA from 1 species
UACGUAGGGUGCAAGCGUUAAUCGGAAUUACUGGGCGUAAAGCGUGCGCAGGCGGUUAUGUAAGACAGAUGUGAAAUCCCCGGGCUUAACCUGGGAACUGCAUUUGUGACUGGCAGGCUAGAGUAUGGCAGAGGGGGGUAGAAUUCCACGUGUAGCAGUGAAAUGCGUAGAGAUGUGGAGGAAUACCGAUGGCGAAGGCAGCCCCCUGGGUUAACACUGACGCUCAGGCACGAAAGCGUGGGGAGCAAACAGG